GGGUUGAGCUGGCUUUGAUAUCUGAUGUCCAGGAUUGAUUUGGCUAAUCUGGUUUGCUAAGUACCAGUCUUCACUUAUUUAUUCCAUUAAAGUCCCUACCGAAAUUAUGCCUUGGUCAAAGGGAGCAACAUUCCCAGAGUGAGAGGGACCAUUCAUUAGUCAAGGCUAUAUCAAUUAAUGAGCUCCAUUUUUUUGUUGUAAAAGAAGGUGUACUUAACCACAGUUCUCAGCUCUUAACUUGUGCUAACAGAUCCAGGAGAGAUUGU
rnacentral:snRNA from 1 species